GUACUUACCUGGCAGGGGAGAUACCUGCUCACGAAGGUGGUUUUCCCAGGGCGAGGCUUACCCGUUGUAUUCCGGAUGUGCUGGCCCCUGUGAUCCCCCCCACCCCCAAAAAAAGAAUAAAGGCAUGUCUAUUGGUGGACAUUUAAGUUUCUAUAUUUACACUAUUGUGCAUAACACU
rnacentral:snRNA from 10 species